rnacentral:rRNA from 1 species
UACGUAGGGCGCAAGCGUUGUCCGGAAUUACUGGGCGUAAAGCGUGCGCAGGCGGCUUUGCAAGACAGAUGUGAAAUCCCCGGGCUUAACCUGGGAACUGCAUUUGUGACUGCAUGGCUGGAGUGCGGCAGAGGGGGAUGGAAUUCCGCGUGUAGCAGUGAAAUGCGUAGAUAUGCGGAGGAACACCGAUGGCGAAGGCAAUCCCCUGGGCCUGCACUGACGCUCAUGCACGAAAGCGUGGGGAGCAAACAGG